UACGUAGGGGGCGAGCGUUGUCCGGAAUUAUUGGGCGUAAAGAGCUCGUAGGCGGUCUGUCGCGUCGGCUGUGAAAACCUGGGGCUCAACUCCAGGCCUGCAGUCGAUACGGGCAGACUAGAGUUCGGUAGGGGAGACUGGAAUUCCUGGUGUAGCGGUGAAAUGCGCAGAUAUCAGGAGGAACACCGGUGGCGAAGGCGGGUCUCUGGGCCGAAACUGACGCUGAGGAGCGAAAGCGUGGGGAGCGAACAGG
rnacentral:rRNA from 1 species